rnacentral:rRNA from 1 species
GAUGAACGCUGGCGGCGUGCCUAAUACAUGCAAGUCGAGCGAACAGACGAGGAGCUUGCUCCUCUGACGUUUGCCGCGGACGGGUGUGUAACACGUGGAUCAUCUCCCUAUAAGACUGGGAUCACUUCGGGAAACCGGCUCUUAUACCGGAUAAUAUAUUGAACCGUAGUGUUCAAUAGUAAGAUACGGUUUUGCUGCCACUACUAGAUGGAUCCCGGCCGCAUUAGCUAGUUGGUAAGGUCACGGCCUACCAAGGCCACGAUGCGUAGCCGACCUGAGAGGGGGAUCGGCCACACUGGAACGGGAACACGGUCCAGACUCCUACGGGAGGCAGCAGUAGGGAAUCUUCCGCAAUGGGCGAAAACCUGACGGAGCAACGCCGCGUGAGUGAUGAAGGUCUUCGGAGCGUAAUACUGUGUUAUUAGGGAAGAACAAAUGUGUAAGUAACUAUGCACGGCUUGACGGUACCUAAUCAGAAAGCCACGGCUAACUACGUG